GACGAACGCUGGCGGCGUGCUUAACACAUGCAAGUCGAACGAGACGAUUGAAAGCUUGCUUUCGAAAGUCGAGUGGCAAACGGGUGAGUAACGCGUAGACAACCUGCCUUUGAGAUGGGGACAACAGUUCGAAAGGACUGCUAAUACCGAAUGUUGUAUAUUUUCCACAUGGAAGAUAUAUUAAAGAUGGCCUCUAUUUAUAAGCUAUCGCUCAAAGAUGGGUCUGCGUCUGAUUAGCUGGUUGGUGGGGUAACGGCCUACCAAGGCGACGAUCAGUAGCCGGUCUGAGAGGAUGAACGGCCACAUUGGGACUGAGACACGGCCCAGACUCCUACGGGAGGCAGCAGUGGGGAAUCUUCCACAAUGGACGAAAGUCUGAUGGAGCAACGCCGCGUGAGUGAAGAAGGCCUUCGGGUUGUAAAGCACUUUAAGUGGGGAGAAAGGUUCGGCAGCUAAUACCUGCCGGAAGUGAUGUUACCCACAGAAUAAGCACCGGCUAACUCUGUGCCAGCCGCCGCCGUAA
rnacentral:rRNA from 1 species